GUUUCAGCCGCCGCGGUAAUACGGAGGUUGCAAGCGUUAUCCGGAUUUAUUGGGUUUAAAGGGUGCGUAGGCGGACCUAUAAGUCAGCGGUGAAAGACUGUCGCUUAACGAUAGCAUUGCCGUUGAUACUGUAGAUCUUGAGUACAUUUGAGGUGGGCGGAAUGUGUAGUGUAGCGGUGAAAUGCUUAGAUAUUACACAGAACACCAAUUGCGAAGGCAGCUCACUAAACUGUAACUGACGCUGAGGCACGAAAGCGUGGGGAUCAAACAGGAUUAGAAACCCCUGUAGUCC
rnacentral:rRNA from 1 species